CAGGUGGGAAAAGAAAGGAAGAGAGAGGCUGGCAAGAUCUGGACUCACUGGAUAGUAAUUAUAUUCCCCACAAUCCUCUUAGGGACCAAAAGCCCCACAGUUACAGUACAGUAUGCUGGCAAAGUCAGUCAGUAAGCUUUUAAAUGCUUACUAUGUUCCAGGUCCUGUGCUAUGGUGGGGAAGAUAUGAAGGCCAUACCCAGGAUUAAGGUUCAAAAUGGGGAGAAAAGAGGGUUAAACUUGGUUUUGGCUCUGCUUCCCAACAGGGUGGCAGUAAGAACGCUGAAAGGGGUGAGUCGCAGAGUUUACUGAGUCUAAUUCUACAAGAGAAAUGCUUGGGCUUUUUUUCCCUUUGGAGAGAAAACCUGUGGUAGGCUGGUGCCCCAUGAAGCCCAGAACCCUGGGAAGUUAAUACUGAAGAAAACCACAACCAGCUAACUAGAAUCUGCCUUUUGGCUUUCAGUCUCCCCACCUUAGUAGUGGGUCAAGAAAAUGGUACAGGGCUAGCAUGCCACUUUUCCUCUUGAAAGUACAGACAGAGGACACUAGGGCAUGGGCAGAGAAAUUGAUAUUUUGGGGUUACCACCCUCAUAUGGAACCAUCAAUGUCAACAAAAACAAUGUACAGCCGUUUAAGUGGAAUAGCCCUGAAAUUGUUUUAAGGGACCUUAAAAAGGCUGGUUUUUCCAAUACUGGAAGGUGUAAUAAGGAGAUUGCUAUACCUCAACACUGAUUCCUGAUACUACAGCCUUAUAUUACAGCAUUUCAUAUAGGUCCCUCUAUCUGCCUUCCCUCCCACACCGUUUAGACACUUGAAGAUAAGUGAGCCCUAAAGCAUGGGUCUCCUCACAUGAGUAUGGUCAUAGUAACCUUGUCUAACUGGCACUCUGUCCUACAGGGGUCUGGAGUUGAGGACAGAUCCUAAGAAAAUCCUGUUCCUUUAUUCCUUAUAGGGGCCCAGAAAAUAGGAGUCAAAUCUGGAAGUUUCCAACUCCCACUAUCAGCUCAUCACAUCUCUAGCAACCUUGCCGCAGCCUUGCAGGAAAAUAGGGGACCUUGUGGGCAGCCUAAGCAGGCUAGUGGGUGGACGGGGGUGGAGGAUGGUUCCCACCCCCCCCCAAGCCGCACUGCACUGGACUUCAGUGUCCUGGCAUGAAACCUCAAUGAAAAAGGAAGGGCUAAAGGCAUCAGCACUCCACUGGUCUUAAAGCAGCACCUUACAAGAGGAUGAACAAGUAUGAUACUUUGUACUUGCUAGGCUGGUCAGUGUGUUCAAAGUACUUUUACACUCAUUAUCUCAUUUGAGUCUAACAAUGACUUAUGAGCUGGGUAGGGCAGGCUUUAUAACAUAUCCACUAGGCUGCAGAAUUACACAUGAGAUGAGGAUCACAGAACUGUAAGGGCCCUUGGAGGUGAUCUAGGACAAAUUCCCUCAUUUCACAGAAGUGGAAACUUUAGCCCAGACAGGAAAAGUGAUUGGCUUGAGGUCAGACCACUUGGUCAUAACAGCAGUGGCACAGUGGCAAAGAGUUCUGGAGUUCUGAGCAGAAGGCCUGGGUCUGAAUUUCCAUUCUACUCUCCUUUGUGACUGGGGGCACAUUUACUUAUCUCUGGGCCUUUUCCACUACUCAAACUUAGGGAAAAUGGGAUCCAUGACCAACCAGACUCUAGAAUAUAAACCUAAUGGAUCUGACUUUCUAGAGAAGUCACCCAUUGAUCUCUAGGACUUCCUGCCUCUUAGACAUCAACUGUGAGGGCUUUGGGACCAUUUGAUAAGCUAUCAAUAAUUCUGCCAUUUCAAAAUAAAGGAACCACUUAUUUACCAAUUGUUCUGAGCUGAAAACCUUAAAGUUGGUAGCACACAGCUGUUGUUCAGAAGACCCCUGGAGCAUUUUAAAUGCCCCUCAGAUAUUUAUGUUGAAAGACUGUAGAGAUAGAGGCAGAAAUGAAUUUUUUUCCUUGGGAAAUCCAGAAAGGCAGUUCUUGAGGUCUUCACUCUUUCACUAAGACCCCACACGAGUUCUGGAUACCAAAUACUAUCAUCUAUAUGGAUCCAACCAAACAUAUGAUAAUGCUUGCAAUAAUCAUGCUGCUGAAGUUUUCCCCAAACUUGGAACAUGAUCACCAUUCAAACAAAAAAUUAACAAAACAUUGUACUAGAGUUAAAGAAUUAUUCAAUGAUGCCUGAAACCUGGGCAAAGGAAGAAGAAAAUAUGAAGCUGACCAGAGAUGGAAAUCAUCAACUUGCUCACAUGGGGCUUUUCUGUAAGCAAAGAAAAUCUUUUGAAUAAACCAUGUUCCUCCACUGAA